UGAGAUGAUGAAAUAAGCGGAUCAGAAGGUGCUAGCAAUGCGGAUGAGAGCAGCCAGGUGAAGCGUGUAAAAGCCGUUUACUGUUGAUGCUUUGAUUAAAGCCCACCUGAGGGCUUCCUCUUCAUUAAUAUCGAGCUCGCAGGGCUGCGGUUUUAUGUGCCGUCUGAUUAGCGCCGCAUUUCCGCCAUUAACUUCGUGGCCCCGGCUCUGACUGAGCAACCGAGAGCUUUGGAGGGUUUUUUGCUGAAGAACGCAUGAGUGGAGAAAAGGCCGGAACAGGGACACCGGAGAAUCUGAAAAGUCACAAGUGGGUGGCCCAGUUCAUGGCGUGCCGGCUCUGCGCUAGAUCACAGCUUCCGCCGGUUCUUCCCCGACGUUAAAAUGCGGCGCCGGUGAUGGCGUUCAGCUGCUUCAUCAGUCCCUCUAGACUGGCCAUCUGUUCGCUCAGGUCGUCCUGCUCAUACACCUGCAUUCCUGGUGGGAAUAAAAGGCACGUGAGCAUUACGAGACUUAUUUCUCGAACUCCUCAAGCCAGUUAUUAAGCUGUGCGAUAUCAGAAGAGACAUCAGCUGACCUUCAGUAAGAGCGAUCUUCUCCAUCACCUGCUAUUCUCAAUCCUGUUUCUUUUUCUCUCAACGUCCCCGAAGCUGCCCUCAGUGUGUGUACGUACGCUGACUGUGACUUAUUUAUAUUGCAUUAUUAAUAUAUGACCUUGGCUUUAGCACCAGUGCAAACAAAGAUGUUCAUGAAAUAUAAAUAAAGUAAGAGGUCAGCCAGAGUUUGCUGUCCAUGGUGCUAAA